GUGAUAAGCACAACGGGAAACGCGAGUGUCAGCAGUAGGGAUAACGUCUGGACCAAAAGCAAGAGAGAAAGAGAUGUAGAAAUGUGAGUAGUGAACAGUGAUGGAGGAAGAUGCUGGUAACCUUGGCGCAGCCUCCCUAUGGACCAAAAUGGCCACCAGACACUACGACGAUUGGGUAACUCAAAAUAUUUGGGGCGUGGUCAAAGGACGCCCUUUACUCGAGAGUCGUACUAAUUUUUUGCAAGAUUGAAACGAGGAGGGAAACAACAAGAGCACUCUAUAGCAGAGGUGGGACGAUAUACAAGCAAAAAAAGUGAAAGAAAGAUCGACUGUGUGCAAAAGGAAGGGAGGUCAUGUGCAAAGAGGAGCAGAAGAGGGUGAGCACCUUUUUAUUGGUUCUCCCUUCAUGCUCAUAUAUUGCUUUUAAUGUACUAUUUCAAAUAGGCACUACAUAUAGCUUUAAUAAAUAAAUAUAUAUUUCCGUGCUCCUACGCACUCUUCUCUUUUGUCAAGACUAUUGAAGAACGAGUUUGUGUUUGUAUUUGUUAUAUUUAACUUUCAGAGAGCAAAAUAAGAAAUCUAUUUCUACUGUGCUGUAUAAAGCUAUUGAUGGUAUUUUUCAAUAUUAUCUUUGCCUAGAAGCUGCAGCAACUAUGACGAAUUAUGAAUGAAUAUAUUAUGGUGAUAAUAUACUAUAGUAAACAGAAUUGACUUUGUGCUCUGAAAAAAUAAGUUGACAGUUUUUAAAGUAAACAUAUGUAUUUCUUCAGAAUUUUACAAGUCCACUCUUCUCUGUUUGCGGAAGAAACAUCUGGCUCAUGUCCAUCAUAACAACUAGCAUCUAAGAGAACAAGAAAGAGAGGAAGAGAGAAAGAAAGAGAGCGAUGUACACCGGAUGUUUUGGAGUUGUCAAAAAACUGACUUGCCUUCAGCGACAACUAUUAUUCGGUGCAGGAUCCUUAGAAUCCACCAACAAAUCUUGUGGAGCACGAGAAGAAUGAAUGCAACUAAACGCCCCUGGAGAUACCCACUUUAUUUAUAUAGAAAAAGCGUGGAUAGGCUGUAGACACGUUUCCAAACAUAGAAUUGCGAGGUACAUGAGACUUUCAAUGGAACCAUGUAUUCCAUGAUCUUUUUGUCAUUAUGAUGAGCUGAAUACAAUGUGAAAACAUCUAGUAACUUCUUUGUUGAUGCUUUGGUGAUGGAAAUUAUUUAAGGAUUUAUCUAUGUAAGUUUUAGUGAUGGGUAUCUCAUGACGUCAACCGCGAGGAUAUCUAGGAAAAUCACAAGGAUCUAUGAGGCUGUCACUCGACACCAAAUCAGACAGAAUCUGUCAAAAAUCCGUCAUGUCAACUAGACAAUACCAUGAAAGAGGCACUAGCCCUGGUCGUUUUCUUAUUCUCUUUUAGUUUACGAUAGAGAGAACUUAGUAUCCAAAGUGGGCUUCAUAGCCUACUGUGAGUGAUGUAUACAUAUACAGAGGUGGGCCUUGUUGCCGUGUUAAAUUUGACACCCUUCGAGCCAAUAAAAUAAAAUGGCCCGUGGAAUGCGGUCGACAGGGGGACUUCUUUUUGAGUGGCACAUCCUUUUUCGACUCUUCUUCGAUGUCACUUGGCGACUUCACUCUUCUUGAUCUUCUUAGUUUGAUAAUAAUAAUAAUAGUCAUUAUACAAGAUGCUGUCUAUGUAUAUAUGGACAUACGAUUAAAAAAUAAGUCUGUAAAUUUAUUUUUCAAAAUUUAUAGAAGGUGACGAAUUGACGAUUAAUAUAUUGCUUUUAAUUCAAUGCGAAUGUUGAUAGCGGUUGAAUUUAAGAUAUUAAAAUGAGAUAAAUAGGUAAUCUAGUCAAUUUGACACCCUCAUAAAAUUCUAAUGGACUCUAUUUCCCAUUUACAGCUGAUGUCCAUUUACAACCUGGCAUGUGUCAAUACAGUUGACAAAUAUGCUCCAUUUCCGUUGUGAUCAGUCUGAUAAAUUAAACUGAAAAUAUCUAUGUUACUUAAAAUAACUUUUUUUAAUCAGAUUACAAAACUUGUUUAUUUCUUAAAACUUUAAUUAUUAUAUUUUUGAGAUAAUAAGGAUUAUUGUUAGUGAUUUUGUCCAUUACACGUGCGUAUGGAAUAGUCAGAUGGAAAUAUAUAAACAAAACAAAUACUGAUUUAUGUUUGAUGAAGAAAAACGAAUCACGAUAAGAAGGAGUUAGUACUCGAGAGUAACAUUAUAUGAACGUUUAAUCCGUUAAAUCCGGUUCCUUCAUAAUCGUUUGUAUAUAUAUUUUUUAUGAUCCAGCUCAUAGAUCUUUUAACUUUUGUUGACGUAAGAAUAGUUUUUUCAUGUUUAUAAAGGUAUAUUUUUAAUUAUUAUAACUUAUUUUAUAAUUCAUAAUGUUAUCAUUUUUUCAA
rnacentral:lncRNA from 1 species